rnacentral:lncRNA from 1 species
UCUUACAUAAGGAUAAGUUUGACUAAUUAAAAGCUCUAUUCGCCAAUGCACUCAAUUAUGAUACUCCAACACUUUUAUUAUCGAGGUGUCCAAGGGCGGAACUAGGUCCGGCGGCCCUGUAGAAGUUUCACUGAUUACCCAUUUGCAUGUGUUGGGAUGUUUGAAAUGUCAUGAUAUCAGUUUUUUCUAUGUGUGAAACCCCCCCCGACCCCAAAAAAAAAAAAACCUCCCCAAGCCAAUCUCACACUAGCUGCCUCGUGUCACUUGACAAUCAACAGGUAAGAGACCAGAAAAGUGAACAAAAAGAAGUAUUUUAUGUAACUAAUAGAUUAUUCAAUUGAAUUGAUUAAACAAAAGUAAGGGUGUAGCUAUUUUCACCUCACUAAAUACUCAGUUCACCCACGUUUUCUUUUUUACCUUUAACGUUCUAAUUCUACCAUUAACAUUGUGAAAAAAAUCUAGUUUUUAUUUUCUUUCUUUUAUUUUUCUCAAUCUGAUAAAAUCUAUAUGUUCUCCUCGAUCUCUUUCUUGAGUUUCUUCUUUACGAUUAUGAAUGUAUAUAUACAGGGCUCUUCUAAUGAGUGAUCCAUUUUUUUGUUCAUUUCUAAGGAUAAGGUAUUUGACGAACUUCCCGAUCACAAAAUCACAUCUCCACCGUUCAAUUUGUAGGUCUAUAUGAGUAGAUCACUUCCACAAGUUUUUAGAAGAUUUGGUGAUCGUUAACUCGUCCAAAACUUUGAUUUACUUUUAAUAAAGUUGAAUGGUUCAGGUUUGUUAGAAAAUGUUG